GGGAGUACGCACGCAAGUUGAACUCAAAGGAAUUGACGGGGCCCGCACAAGCGGUGGAGUAUGUGGUUAAUUCGAUGCAACGCGAAGAACCUUACCAGGGUUUGACAUCCUGCGAAUCUCUUGGAAACGGGAGAGUGCCUUCGGGAGCGCAGUGACAGGUGGUGCAUGGCUGUCGUCAGCUCGUGUCGUGAGAUGUUGGGUUAAGUCCCGCAACGAGCGCAACCCACGUCGUUAGUUGCCAGCAUUCAGUUGGGCACUCUAGCGAGACCGCCGGUGAUAAACCGGAGGAAGGUGUGGAUGACGUCAAGUCAUCAUGCCCCUUACAUCCUGGGCUACACACGUACUACAAUGCUACGGACAAAGGGCAGCAAACUCGCGAGAGCUAGCAAAUCCCAUAAACCGUGGCUCAGUUCAGAUCGUAGGCUGCAACUCGCCUACGUGAAGGAGGAAUCGCUAGUAAUCGCAGGUCAGCAUACUGCGGUGAAUACGUUCCCGGGCCUUGUACACACCGCCCGUCACACCAUGGAAGUUGGCCACGCCCGAAGCCGUUACUCCAACCCUUGUGGAGGAGGACGUCGAAGGUGGGGCUGAUGACUGGGGUGAGGUCGUAACAAGGUAACCGUA
rnacentral:rRNA from 1 species